rnacentral:sRNA from 1 species
UUCAGUGAGGCCGAGCUGUGUGGUAGAGACUGCCUUUUCCCUACUGCUGCAACUCUGGAAAAUAAACCUAACAGUACUCGAGAGGUAGCAAGGACAGUGGGGUGAGGAGUAUGGAUACCCAGCACAAUCAACUACAUUAAAUCAUGGUUCUGCCACUAACUAACUACGUCACCUUGUGUGGAACACUUACCCUCUCUUGUGCCUCAGUUUCCUCUUCUGUAAGUGGGGAUAAUCACGGCACCACCUCAUAGGAUUAAAAUAGUUAAUACAUGGGAAAUGCAUGGGGUUACUCCUGGCACACAGGAAGUGCCAGAUCAGCAUUGGCAGUCAUCACUGUUUAUUACAUAACUUGAGUCUCCAUUCCUUGCUACCAAAAGAACCAGUUAUAAAGAAAAAUAAUAUUUUUAUUUUCUUUUUUGUUUGUUUUGCAGCAAAACUUAUGUUAUUCCUUUGCAGUGCAGCUGCCCUGUAGAUUUUGAGUUUUACAUCACUUUGAUUCAGUCUCAUCAAGCCUUUGCUAUUGAGCCAACAUCAGGAAUAAUUCCGGCUAAUGGGAAGAUGACUGUGACUAUUAAGUUUACACCCUUUCAGUAUGGGACUGCACAAAUAAAAAUGCAGUUAUGGAUUUCGCAGUUCAACUCUCAACCAUACGAAUGUGUCUUCACCGGAACGUGCUAUCCCAACAUGGCCUUACCGUAUGGCGUCUUUGCAGUGUUUUUGUUUAUUUUUAACCCUUUUUUGAAAAUCCAAGUCUUCCUUUCUU